rnacentral:rRNA from 1 species
UACGAAGGGGGGCUAGCGUUGCUCGGAAUCACUGGGCGUAAAGCGCACGUAGGCGGCUUGUUAAGUCAGGGGUGAAAUCCUGGAGCUCAACUCCAGAACUGCCUUUGAUACUGGCGAGCUCGAGUCCGGGAGAGGUGAGUGGAACUGCGAGUGUAGAGGUGAAAUUCGUAGAUAUUCGCAAGAACACCAGUGGCGAAGGCGGCUCACUGGCCCGGUACUGACGCUGAGGCGCGAAAAGCGUGGGGGAGCAAACAGG